UCGGGAAUUUUGGGCAAUGGGCGAAAGCCUGACCCAGCAACGCCGCGUGAAGGAUGAAGUAUUUCGGUAUGUAAACUUCGAAAGAAUAGGAAGAAUAAAUGACGGUACUAUUUAUAAGGUCCGGCUAACUACGUACCAGCAGCCGCGGUAAUACGUAGGGACCAAGCGUUGUUCGGAUUUACUGGGCGUAAAGGGCGCGUAGGCGGCAAUUCAAGUCAUCUGUGAAAUCUCCGGGCUUAACUCGGAACGGUCAGAUGAUACUGCUUUGCUAGAGUGCAGAAGGGGCAAUCGGAAUUCUUGGUGUAGCGGUGAAAUGCGUAGAUAUCAAGAGGAACACCUGAGGUGAAGACGGGUUGCUGGGCUGACACUGACGCUGAGGCGCGAAAGCCAGGGGAGCAAACGGGAUUAGAUACCCCCGUAGUCCCUGAGCGGGCUGGCAAGGCGCAU
rnacentral:rRNA from 1 species